rnacentral:rRNA from 1 species
GGUUUAAUUCGAUGCAACGCGAAUAACCUUACCUGGCCUUGACAUCCACGGAACCCUGCAGAGAUGCGGGGGUGCCUUCGGGAACCGUGAGACAGGUGCUGCAUGGCUGUCGUCAGCUCGUGUCGUGAGAUGUUGGGUUAAGUCCCGCAACGAGCGCAACCCUUGUCCCUAGUUGCCAGCAUUCAGUUGGGCACUCCAGGGAGACCGCCGGUGACAAACCGGA